UUUAAAGAAGAUUGGAACUUUGAGUGAAAAAUGAGCUAUGUAGUUGAAAUAUAGAUACAGUACAACAUGUAUGUAUCUAUGGCUUCCAUUGAUGAAGAGAUCAGAGUGAGAAGUGAGCUUAAAAGAGGUGGAUGUGAGAGGGAAGAACCCUAAAAGGAAAGUGGGGGAAGUAAACUGAAUGGGAGACUUUAAUUUGUGUUUUUAAUCAGAUUGGAUGGAAUAUAUCGGCAAUGAUGUUCCAAUUUUAUUUGGGGUGAGCGGGUUUGAAUUGAAAAGGCAUGAUUUUGGUGGUUAGGCUGGUUGGUUAAAUCACACUCCAGUAAGUUGUAAUAACUGGGAGAGGCCGUAAUCAACUACCUGAUGGGAUGGCUCAUAA
rnacentral:lncRNA from 1 species